rnacentral:rRNA from 1 species
GAUGAACGCUGGCGGCGUGCCUAAUACAUGCAAGUCGAGCGAACAGACGAGGAGCUUGCUCCUCUGACGUUAGCGGCGGACGGGUGAGUAACACGUGGAUAACCUACCUAUAAGACUGGGAUAACUUCGGGAAACCGGAGCUAAUACCGGAUAAUAUAUUGAACCGCAUGGUUCAAUAGUGAAAGACGGUUUUGCUGUCACUUAUAGAUGGAUCCGCGCCGCAUUAGCUAGUUGGUAAGGUAACGGCUUACCAAGGCAACGAUGCGUAGCCGACCUGAGAGUGUCGCCGCCCCCCCUGCACCGGAGACACGCCCCAGCCCCCUCCGGGAGGAGCCAGGCGGGAUUCUUCCGCAAGGGGCGAAGCCCUGGCGGACCAGCCCCGCGUGAGUGAUGAAGUUCUUGGGAUCGAAAACCUUUUUUUUGGGGGAAAAAAAAAUGUGUAAGUAACUAUGCACGUUUUGACGGUCCCUAACCAAAAGGCCCCGCCUAACUCCGUC